UGUCUAGUCUUGCCUGCCUGAACCAUUUCAGGGUUCAGGAAGCAAGGAAAGGUACUGUGAUCAAUAUGAGAGGUUUUACUAAUUUGCUGGUUUUAUUCCCUGAUUUGGUUGAUGAAUCUCUGAUAGAAGAGUAAAGCUCCAAGAGCUUUAAUUCUUUUCUUCUUCCUAAUGGGUUGGACUGAGUUUUGUGACCCCUUACCUUUUAUAGAGAUGAGGGAGUGUGUGGGAGGAAAAUUUGUGUCAAUCAAUGUAUUUAGAGGUGUUCUGCAGCUGUUCUGAAACCAUGCUUCUCUGAUCCCAUUUCCUUGCUCCUUUAAUCCCCUUUUCCUUCUUUAACCCCCUAGCUGUGUGAAUAGUUCCAAUCUCCACCUUGGACCUGCAGAUAGAUUCCAGACUUGUAGGUGAGAUCAAUAGUAAAAUGGCUUUAGUGCAUUUGUGUGUGGGUAUGUGAUAUUGCCUGGCUUCCUUUCCUGAAGAGAAGCCCUUCCUGGUCUGCCCAGCUCCUCAUGCUGCCUUCUUGCUUUGUGGGACCCAUCCCAGUGUGUGGAAGACUGGGGAAUGAUCACGAGGAGGGCCAGCCACCACCAGAAGGUGGAAGCCAUGCUACAGAAGUCAACUGGGAGAAGAGAAGUGCCCCAACAGCACAGUGCAGCGACUCUAAGAAAUCCAUCUGAUGCAACUCCUGCUAUCCCACUCAUCUUCAUAAGGGCUUGUAGAGAUGUUUAGGUAUCAUGUGUCAAUUAAAAUGUGAAAAUGCAUGAGGAAACGAUGAGUAGGUAAUGAGAACUUGGAUAUUUGGUAUCAGUUCACUUCUAAUGAGCAACUAUUCUCUGUUGCUCUUUACAAUAGUUAGCACUGAGUAAGAAUGUGUGCUACUUCAUAAGAGGGCCUGUUGUGUACUCCAGAAUGGUUCAUUUUGUGGCUUUUUUUUCCCUUUUCUUUCAUGUUUUAUUAUAGUUGGGGAGAUAAAGGAAAUUUCUUAGAAAAAUAAAGAAAAAGGCAGACUUUGUUCUUGUAGGAUAAUGACUUCCUUACAUUUAUUAAUCUUUAAACAAAUGUUUUUACAAAGGAGUGGGGUCUUUUGUUUUGGGUUUUUCAGUUGAUUGGUGGUUUGAGUUUUUUCUGUAAUCUUUUCAUCAUAUCACUGCUUCUUGUGGCUGAAUCACCAUCAAAGGACUUCAGGAUUCUUCCUUACUUUAAUAUUGUUUUGUAACUACAUUUUCCUUCUUCAACAUGCAUUUCUGAGAACCCAGAAAAGUUCUUGGGGUAAACACUGUGGGCCAGAACCUUGUGUAGUACACCUGGAGCGAUGGGCAGGGAGAUAAGGAGAUGACUGCAUGUAUGUAUUUGAGUUUAUGCCUGUAGAAAUGAUAAUCACACUUGCCUUUCAACUAGUAGUAAGUUGGCUCAUUCUCAUCUAAUUGUAAUGUGACCAUCCAAAUAAUGCACUUGUUGUGAAUCCCAGAGGAUUUUGUGCAUGAUGGUCUUCCCCCUAUCCCCAUGGCAUUAAUAAUGCAGUAGGGGUAUGUACUUCCUUCUUGAGACUCUUCUUUUUCUGUACAGCAUGCAGCAUUUUUGGUUUGUUUGCUUUCUUGUUUGUCCUUUUUUCCCUGUGGCUUUCCAUUCAUAAUUUGCAAACUGGAAUAACUUUGCUUUAAACCACUGUCAGGACUGAAUUGAUGCACAUGAGCAUUCUUGGUGGCAUUUUUGACCAGGUGCACUCGUAAGAGUCCACAGGAAUGCUGUGGACUCCUUUCAGCUCAUCCCUGGUGUCUCUGAGGAAGAUAAAAACCAGAAACAAAAAGCCAGUCUCUAAUGUGGAUGGUGGGGAUGUCUGAAACCAAUGAAUGCAUUGCAAACUGUGGAUGUUCAUCUCUGUUUAUCUGACUCAUUGCAAGACCUGAUUCCCACAGGAUGGAGUAGAGGCCAGGAGUUUUCUCAGGGCAUGAAAGGAAAUUGGUCCAGUUAAUAGCAAAGAAAUCCAUAAAGGUGGAAUAAAUGCAUAGAAAUAUCUAAGCUGGGAAGUUGCUGAGAUGAAAGUAGAAGGAAAGAGGAAUUGCUGAGGAAAUGCCUCUUCUUUGGGCAUUCAAUAGUGGCUUCAGGUGAAAGGAAGCAUAUUUAGAACAAUGAACUCUUGAUCUGACUAAGUAAAGUACUUAAUGUUUAAAUAGUAGGUCAACCAGUCCAAGUACAGUCUCUACUAUCCAAACAGUGUUGCUCUCUCUUGAGAUUUCUCUUUCAAAACACUGAAUGACCAGCUAGGAUGUCAUAAGCACUGGUGGGAGUAGCUGUGUCUGUUUCUCUUGAAAAUAAUGCAGAACAAUGAGUCCUGCCUCCUAUUUCUUCCCCAAAUCAGGUCAUAAUCUUAAAAGUGCUGCUCCUGUUCCAUGCAGGGCUGCACUCAGGAGGGAGAAGGGGAGGUAGCAGCCAGUGGAUUGCCUUUACAUAGAGGUGCUCCCAGGAUGCUCAGUACAACAAUUCAUGUAGAGAUAGAAGCAGCAUCAAAUGCCAUCAGGCAAUGCCAAAGCAAUACUAAGAAUUAUUCAUAUUUAGAUUAAUCAGUGACGGAUUUCAUUGCUAAGUUGCCAUUUGGCUUUAGUUAACAGAGGAAUAAUAUGAGGCCAAAAGAGAAAACCACAGCUGAAAAGGUUUCUUUUAUUAAAGAAGCUCUGGAUAGACUGAGACAAGUUGCUUUAAAUGCAUCAUUCCAAGAAAUAGAACAGUGUUAACUUUUACAUUUUAAGUGUCUAAUAAUUGUAUGCUUUAGUGAAUUGAAUAGAACACAAGUGUAAACAGUACUUGGGUCACCCAAUUAUCAGAUUUUUUUGUUUUUGUUGGUUUUUUUUUUCCAUUAAAUGUAAAAACUUCAGGAUAUAGGUAGCCAACUGCUAUAGGUAAGGAGUAAAAUAAUCUUUAAUGUAAAAUACAUAUUUGUGUGCCUAAAGGGGAAAAUGCUCUUUUUCAAGGACUCUUAUAAGCAGAAGAGAAUGUGUUUAAUUCAAUAGGUUGUUCAAACUCUCACCCUGAGAUGACCAAUUCCUAAACAUCUUUGGAAACUCAAGUGGCUUGAAUAGAUUAGUUGUUCUUGCACCUUUUACCUCAAAAUUCUUUUGAGAAAAUCUGAGCUGCUAUAGAAGCCCUCAAGAAGCCAAUGGAAUCACUGAAUAAAAAUGGAAAUGGGACUUCUGGGCUUAGCACAAUAGAAAUAAACAUAAUGUGAACUUCUGUAUCUCUCUUGAGUUCUUAACUUUACUGGAAUGAAAAACUGAGGUGUUCUGGCACAGGCUGCAGUAUGUGUACCUAUGGGGAAAUGGAAAAGAGAGAAGAAAUUGUGAAAGAGAACUGGAAAGUAUGAAAAAUACAACAGUAUGAAAGUGUCUAUAAAUUUUCUUGAUGUCUGAAUAAAAAGUGAGAAGAAGAUACCUCUUGUGUAAGGGGAGACUUCUCUACAUAACUGGUUAAACUUUUUCCUGCUUGAUAACUUAUUGCAGUAAAGCACAAGAGGCUUUGAAAGAAAAGGAUGUAUGUGCAGGGGAAUUUAUAGCCUUCCACAAAACAGAUGAAAGUAGUAUUGCAUUCCUAUUUUUCUCUGCACUUCAGUUUAAGAAUGUCCCUUAAACCACAGCUGAUGAAGUCCAAUCCCUUUCAUUUUCAUCUGGGAAGAAAGUUAAACAACGGGUCUCAAAUUAGAGGGGUUAUGUAUAUGCCAGGAUGGUGUACUUGGUAUCUUGCUAAAAAAUAACUAAUUUGUUGUUUUAGUUUUGCAAUUAGAGUAUAACUUUAUUUAAAAAUGCAUCUCUAAGUAUUCAUUUGGCUGGAAGGUGGAUGGGGUGGAGAGAGAUGUAGUCCUCUGAGUGCUAUUUUCCAUAAUAAUUUAUACAGUUCCAAAGACUUUUUGGAAUUUUUACAGGAAUGAAGUUAAGCACAGAUUUCUUGACAGGUUUCCAUUGUUGUGCUGUUGUGAUUUCUUAAAUAGUUUGAGCUUGUUAAUCAGAAAUGGAGAUGUGAAUAUAAAGAUGUGGGUGUUAAGGAGAUCUUUAUUUGACUUUAAGACCAUGAAAUUGUUAGUAAUUCUGCUUUUCAUAUAUUUGUUUGCAUGCUGUGCUGUUUUGUCUCAAAACUGAAUUCCAUCAGAUCAGAAAGCACAUUUCCUUGGUUUGCAGGAUUUGUCUUUCAUUAGUUUUGGUAUGUCUUAGUAUUUAUGAAGAUGACAAUGCCAGUAGGAACAUUAGAUUACAAAGGUAAUUCUGAAAAGGUCAGCAGGUCUGACAUGCAAUUUGUCUUGUUCCAUUAGGCUUUAUAUUGAUGUCCUGUCUGUCUAACCAGUAUGGUAAUCACUCCAAAUAUAAAUGAUGUGUGGGCAAUUAUUUUAUGGUUUUGUUUGAAAAACAGUCUGAACAGCUCCAGUGACAAAGAUAAUAAAUGUUUAAGCUACAGUGU